UCACGGGGAGGGGUCUUUGAGGGACAUCGACAUGAUGCCCUGGUAGGCAUUGAGUGUCAGCAUCGAGAUGACCCUCCUCUUCUUCCUCUCAGGCGAAGCCUUGGGGUCUCCCCCGAUUUGUCCUCCAACCGUCAAAGCAUAAGUGCUAGAACGUCCUGAUUUGUGCUUGAACGGAGAAGCUUCCACGAGCGUAGGUGUAGCAGGACCAUUCGCCAGAUCACCUGCAUUGAAGACCAUACAGAAAACGAAAAAAGAGAUUAUUACGACAUUUCCAUAACGACCAAAGAACGGCUGCAGUAGUCAUAUUAAGUACUUCAUUUCUCCUAUUCCCCACCCAGAAAUGUGCAAUUUGUUCUAGGCCAGAGCCCAGGGUUUUUCCAAGUAACAAACUCAUGAAUUCCCAAACAAUUGUGGCCACGACACAGUCAAAGAACAUGUGUUGUGUAGUCUCAGGUUCAGCACAAAAUAAGCAAGUAAGAUCAUUAACAUGUUGUCUCUUCUGCAAGUUAUCUCUAGUUAGAAUUCUGUUAUGACUCACUAACCAGAGGAAGGUAUGGAUCUUGGGUGGUACAUGUAAUUUCCAAACAGUUUGUACAAAAACAGGUGUGAUCCCUCCUUGAAGCUACAGUUAGUGAGAGCAGUCGGUCUGUAUUUUUUUAUACUAGUAGCAUCAGCCUCCUUGGGGAUAAGGGUAAUCAUAGCAAAGUUGAGUCUAUACAGGUCCAAGGUGUUAUAGCAGAAUUUGGACACUAAGGACAUUAAGUCUGUCUUAAUGGUCCCCCAAAAUUGUUGAUAGAAUAAGAAGGGGAAGCCAUCAGGGCCAGGGGCACCCCUAGCAUAAGAAUUGAAGACAGCUGUUCUAAUUUUCUCUUCAGAAAAAUCCUGAGUGAGUAGUUCAUUUUCUUCAGAAGAAAUCAAAUCUGCAUCAUCCCAGAAAUCAUGGGAAAGGGAGAUUUGUAGUAAGCUAAGUGAGGUUCAGAGCUAAAUAGAGAUUUGUAGUAAGCUACAGCAAUCUCCAUCAUACCCUUAUUAUCAGUGAUAGGUCCAUUGUCUCCCUCUAGGGAGAGAAUCAUUUUAUUUCUUUUCCUUUGAUUGGCCACAGCUUGGAAGCUGUAUUUAGUAUUUCUAUCUCCUUCAAGUAUAUCUUUUUCCCUAGAUCUCUGUCUAGCCUUAAGUUCAUUCCAUAUAUCUUUCGGACGUUGGUGUUUUUCAAGGAGGAGGGUUUGUGUUUCAGACAUAUUGUCAAGGCAAGUAAAUUCAGCCGUAAAUGCUUGCUUAAGCUUUUUAUUGUCGGCUUCAGCAUUUGAGUUCCAGCCUCCAGGGAGCUUCUUGAGUCUCGUGAUCUUGAAUUGCCGAAUUUCUAAGGGGUCAGACCAAGGACGGACGUGAGAGCUACUACGGCAAGUACUAUUCCGGAUUCCAGAAGUGGAGGAAACAGCAUUGGAAUGAUCGACCUAUGUUGUGAAGGAUGAUGGCGUUGUUGUGUUUGUGAGAGCAUGGGCAUUUGACGAGAUCCGGAUCGAGGUCCACCCGUCGUCAUCUUGUGCGCGCUCUGGUAUGGGGCACACGCGGCGCCGCACACAUGCCAAAGAGCGAGCGAAUGGACGGCCACCCGUGCACGCAUCUGCCUGCCCCCCUCAGGCCCCGGCGAGCGCGUUGGUCCUCCCAAGCCCUAGCUUGGCUCCUGGUAGGCCGACCUUUUUUCAAAUCUUUGAGCUUGACGCCCGGCACGUGCCCUGCUUC
rnacentral:lncRNA from 1 species